GCAGCUGUGGCCUACUGGUCAGGGUUUCGGACUUGUAAUCGGAGGGUUGCCAGUUUGAACCCUGACCAGUAGGA
rnacentral:tRNA from 1 species